UUUGGGAAAAUGAGGACGUAGUCAAAUAGUUUUGGAGGGGCCCCUCCCUCUCGCUGC
rnacentral:tRNA from 1 species